rnacentral:lncRNA from 10 species
AAAAUUGGAGAAUGGACUUCCAGUAGAAUAAUACAGAUCUGGGAAUCAACUGCAUGGAGGAGGUAGUUAUAGGUGAUGAGAUGUCUCAGGGACAAAGUUUGGUAGCCGGAGAAAAGAUACUAGGCUGGUACAAAAAUAAUUGCUGUUUUUGCCGUUACUUUUAAUGGCAAAAUCCGCAAUUACUUUUGCACCAACCUAAUAGGAUGCAAACUUCGGAGCCAUCUGCAUCAGAGGGUUUGAUGAUGAUCAACAAAGUUUGGGAACACAGGAAAGGAGCGGGGAGGGUAAUGACUUGAGGGCAUAGCAGGGAUAAUCAAGGUUUUUCUUGUUAGCAUGUGGAGACUUAAGCAUGAUUAUAUGUUAAGCACCUGGCACAUACAAGGUACAUAAUAUUUAUGAGUGAAAUGACAAGUGAAGGUGGUGGGUCAUGGGAGUUCCAAGGGAACGGGUGAUAAAGGCAGGUCUCAAAUGAGGCACAAGUGGAGAAGGUAACUUGGGAAUGGAGAAGGAUGCUUCUCCUUAUAAGUUGGGAAAGGCAGAGGAAGAGGGUCAAGAUACAGUGAUCUAGGGGUGAGAUGGAAGUGAGUUGAGAGAACUCAACUCUGGGCUCUGAAACCCCUAGGGAUGGGUUUGGGGGGCUUUGAGAUAUGGAAGAGGUUUAAAGUCAAUUGUUAUAGCAAAUAUGGUUUGGAAUUUAUUUGUGAUGCUUAAACAUAUUGCUGAACAGAAGUGAAGUCUACCCUAGAGUUGGAUGGUGAGAUUAUUUAGUGGAACUACCAGAUCCACGUUGUGAUUCUUUCCAGUAUCAUUCAGCAGCCCUUGGGCAGUUGCGAGGCAAGUCAUCAAUGGGGUAUGGAGAUUUUCCAGGUGGGUGUGGUUGAAGGAAGGGAAGAACGAGUUCAGGAGCACAUUACAAGAAGAAGGUGACUGUAAGGUCCAGGGUGAGCAGGAAGGUAAAGCAAGAAGGAAACAUGAGGUUGUGAAGAGAAGUUUAGAGGGAUGAGGAGGCAGGAGAGGUGAAGAGUUGCAUGAUGUAGCUAGAGUGGCGUUGUUAGAUCUUGGGGCCAGAGAGCUUUACAAUGAUUAUGAAGAUCAAAGGACAUUAGAAUCAAGAUAUAAAGAGCCACUGUUUGAUGUUGGGAUGUGAGGAUGCUGCAGGUGGAUGUCUGCACAUUGAUGGUGAGAACAUGGUCACCCUGGCCCUGCCGGGUCUUUGCUAAAGAGACUGUGCUCUGUUCUUGGGGCCGUUUUCAUCACCUGAUUAGAGCAGUGGUCCCCAAAUGGUGUUCUUUGGACCAUCUGUAUAAAAUGUUCAUAGGUCAAGGAUAAAAUGGAAAAACAAAAUGUCACAGAAAUGUGCCCAUUGUUGAAAGACC